rnacentral:rRNA from 1 species
CAAUAGCGUAUAUUAAAGUUGUUGCAGUUAAAAAGCUCGUAGUUGGAUUUGUGGCGUACGGUGUGUUCCGGGCACUUGUUGUCUGAGUAACCUGCUGUUGCCAUCCUUGGGUGGAACCUGUGUGGCAUUAGGUUGUCGUGCAGGGGAUGCCCAUCAUUUACUGUGAAAAAAUUAGAGUGUUCAAAGCAGGCUUAUGCCGUUGAAUAUAUUAGCAUGGAAUAAUGAGAUAGGACUUUUUUGCUAUUUUGUUGGUUUGCGCAAAGAGGUAAUGAUUAAUAGGGACAGUUGGGGGUAUUCGUAUUCCAUUGUCAGAGGUGAAAUUCUUGGAUUUUUGGAAGACGAGCUACUGCGAAAGCAUUUACCAAGGAUGUUUUCAUUAA